UAUAUAUAUGUAUAUAAUCUGAAUCACUUUGCUGUACAGCAGAAAUUAACACAACAUUGUAAACGAACUAUACUUCAAUUCAAAAAAGAAGAGAACUUCCUAAACCAAACAUAACUAGCAAAUAACCAUAACAUCACAUGAUGAAAUAUUGAAGCAUUUCUUUUAAAGAUAGGAACAAAACAUGUAUGACUGUUAUGCCCAUUUCUUUUCAACACUGUACCAGAAGUUUUAGCCAGAAGAGUAAAACAUGACAGAUAAAUAAAAUGUCUAAUGAUCAGAAAGGAAGUAACAAAGUAUUGUAGAUGACAUGAUUGUCUAUACUGAAAAUUAAAAUGAUCAAUAAGGUAGAGAUACAUAUUAACUUUUCAAGUAAGUCAACUGCACUCUUUAUAUCAGAAAUAAACAGUUAAAUGACCAUUAACUAACAAGAGAAUAGACGGUCAUUCCACAAAAGUCUAUAGAGCAGUUUAAAAUUAAUGACUUAGAAAUAUUUUUGUCAUUAGAGAUAACCCUGAAAAUAUGUAAUGUUGAAUAAAAACAAGUUACAGAAGGAUGCAUACAGUUUGAUUUCACUCGUGGUUUAGAAAUACAAUCCUAUGUAGAAAAAGUAAAAAUUAUAGAUGUGAUAAACACCAAAUUAAGAAUACUGAUUACUUUUUAAUGUGGGAUAAAACAGUGGUAGAACAUUAAUUAUAUGGGAUUUUAUAUUAGUAUCUGUAAGGUUUUAUUUCUUAAGUUGGAUUGUGCACACAUGUGCAUAGUUCAAAUUAGUACGUUGUGUUAUAGUUUUCUUCUCCCUUGCAGUUGUGUCCUUGAAGGUGGGAGAGGGGGUAAUUAUGAAGUUAGCUGAAGUGUUUUGAUUCUCAUUUCAUUUUCUUGACUUUUCAAUGAGGUCCUCUCUGAUCACCUAAUCUAAAAUUUCAUCAUGGCCCUCAAGUUUUCUCAUCUACAUUUUUUUUCUUUUACCACUUAUUACUAUCAUGUGUUUUUCACUUAUUUACCUCGUUUAUUGCCUGUCAACCCUUCCAAAGAAUGCACUCCAAAAGGGUUGGGACUUGUGUGGGGUUAUUUUUCAUUGUUCAUUAUUGUAUCCCCACCACUAAAUCAAUGUUUGGCACAUAGAAGUUUCUUGAUAAAUACUUGUUGCAUAAAUAAAUAUCUGAACAAUUCAUUAAACAGGUUUAUUUGAAUAAAAAUAUCUUGCCCUUUGA